ACGGCUCAGUAACACGUGGACAACCUACCCUUAGGACGGGGAUAAACCCGGGAAACUGGGUAUAAUACCCGAUAGUUCUCGGCUGCUGGAAUGCACCGAGUACUAAAGCUCCGGCGCCUAAGGAUGGGUCUGCGGCCUAUCAGGUAGUAGUGGGUGUAGCGUACCUACUAGCCUACGACGGGUACGGGUUGUGAGAGCAAGAGCCCGGAGAUGGAUUCUGAGACACGAAUCCAGGCCCUACGGGGUGCAGCAGGCGCGAAAACUUUACAAUGCUGGCAACAGCGAUAAGGGGACCUCGAGUGCCAGGUUACAAAUCUGGCUGUCGUGAUGCCUAAAAAGCAUUGCACAGCAAGGGCCGGGCAAGACCGGUGCCAGCCGCCGCGGUAACACCGGCGGCUCGAGUGGUAACCGUUAUUAUUGGGUCUAAAGGGUCUGUAGCCGGCCGGAUAAGUCUCUUGGGAAAUCUGGCAGCUUAACUGUCAGGCUUUCAGGAGAUACUGUCUGGCUCGAGGCCGGGAGAGGUGAGAGGUACUUCAGGGGUAGGGGUGAAAUCUUGUAAUCCUUGAAGGACCACCAGUGGCGAAGGCGUCUCACCAGAACGGACCUGACGGCAAGGGACGAAAGCUAGGGGCACGAACCGGAUUAGAUACCCGGGUAGUCCUAGCCGUAAACGAUACUCGCUAGGUGUCGGCCACGGUGCGACCGUUGUCGGUGCCGUAGGGAAGCCGUGAAGCGAGCCACCUGGGAAGUACGGCCGCAAGGCUGAAACUUAAAGGAAUUGGCGGGGGAGA
rnacentral:rRNA from 1 species